AAAAAAAGAGAGUACAGAGUCAUCAGAUUGACAUUCAUCCCUACGCCGUAUUCUAAUAUAUAUCAAUGGACAACGAUUUCGAGCAUGAGUGGCAGAAGAUACAAUACUACCAGACUACUAGUAGUAGCAGUAUCCAGGAUACAAUUUGAAGCGAGGUAAGAACUGAAAUGGGAAUGGAAACUAGUGCAUUAGAAAAUGAGUUGUAAGACACAUACAAAUUGAGAUCUCAACCAAGUAAAAAUGGAGCAAACUAAGAUAAAAAGAGGUGUAUAACUGUACAUUGACCAAGAUCACAAGAACUCAAUUAACAGACAUAAGUAUUGCGAAUUCUAGACAUAGGUGUCACCCAAUCAAAGUUAGGUUACAAUGUGAAAAUGAAAAAAAGUAAUGAAUUUCUAAUAGAAUAAUAAGGGCAGAAAACAAUAGGAAACUUAAGAUUUUUUACAUAGCUCAUUAAUAUUAAAAUGUAAAUGGAAAAAUAAAAAAGCAUGGUAGCAAAAUGAAUUUCUCAAUUUCAGCCAGUCAGUAAAGUCAACGACAGGAAAGCGCAGGGCAAGAAAGAUCUAGAAGCUUCUCCAACUGGUGGACAGCAAGGCACUAUUCAGUUAGCUGAGAGUACGAGGGGCAUGUGAGGCAGCAGCUCCAAGCUCAUAUAAUUGAGUAGAAGUCUGAAAGGUGGUAUGACUAGAGAAUUUGUAUUUCUUUCCAGCUUUCAUACCUUGCAGGCAGUUGGUAUGACUGCUGGGUUAAGUGAGGCAUUUCUGGGUUACUAUUCCAGAGCCUCUUGAAACCCACGUGCAAUUUUGAAUCUCUGAAUAAAACUCACUUCUCUGCAACUAUUCAUUUUCAGUCUAUCAUCCAUCUCUUUUUGGUUCCUAUCUCUUUUUGGUUCCUUAUUCCAUCAGUCG
rnacentral:misc_RNA from 1 species